rnacentral:rRNA from 1 species
AAAAGUAAGUAAGGGCACAUGGCGGAUGCCUUGGCUCUCGGAGGCGAUGAAGGACGUGAUAAGCUGCGAUAAGCUUCGGGUAGGUGCAAAUAACCUUUGAUCCGAAGAUUUCCGAAUGGGACAACCCGACAUUCUGAAGGAAUGUCAUCCUGCUUGGCUGGAGGCUAACGCAGGGAACUGAAACAUCUUAGUACCUGCAGGAAAAGAAAAUAAACAAUGAUUCCCCCAGUAGUGGCGAGCGAACGGGGAACAGCCCAAACCAUCCAUGUUACGGCAUGGGUGGGGUUGUAGGACUACGCCGUUGCAUGAAGACAUCAGAGAAGAACUUUCUGGAAAGAAAGACCAUAGAGCAUGACAGUUGCGUAUUCGAAUGUUGUCGAAGCAUAGUAGUAUCCUGAGUAGCGCGGAGCACGAGGAAUUCUGCGUGAAUCUGCCGGGACCAUCCGGUAAGGCUAAAUACUCCCGAGAGACCGAUAGCGAACCAGUACCGUGAGGGAAAGGUGAAAAGCACUUCGAACAGAAGAGUGAAAUAGUUCCUGAAACCGUGCGCCUACAAGCGGUCGGAGCUCGUUAAUGAGUGACGGCGUGCCUUUUGCAUAAUGAACCUACGAGUUGCCUUUGCCGGCAAGGUUAAGUGUGACGACACACGUAUCCGAAGCGAAAGCGAGUCUGAACAGGGCGUAUAGUCGGCAGUGGCAGACGCGAAACCAAGUGAUCUACCCUUGGCCAGGUUGAAGGCUGGGUAACACCAGCUGGAGGACCGCACCAAUAAGCGUUGAAAAGCUUCUGGAUGAGCUGAGGGUAGGGGUGAAAGGCUAAUCAAACUUGGAGAUAGCUCGUACUCCCCGAAAUGCAUUUAGGUGCAGCCUUGCGGGUUACUGAUGUGAGGUAGAGCGACUGAUAAGAUGCGAGGGCUUCACCGCCUAUCAAGUCUUGACAAACUCCGAAUGCGCAUCAGUUCUACCGCAGGAGUGAGGGCAUGGGUGCUAAGGUCCGUGCCCGAGAGGAGAAGAAUCCGGACCACCUGCUAAGGUCCCGAAAUGACAGCUAAGUUAAACUAACGAAGUCAGAUUGCUAAGACAGCUAGGAUGUUGGCUUGGAAGCAGCCAUUCAUUUAAAGAGUGCGUAACAGCUCACUAGUCGAGGAGUCGGGCGUGGAUAAUAAUCGGGUAUUAAGUUGUCUACCGAAGCAGUGGGAUCAUUAAUAUGAUCGGUAGGGGAGCAUUCCAGUCAGCGUCGAAGGCGUACCGUGAGGUAUUCUGGAGCGUCUGGAAAAGCAAAUGUAGGUAUAAGUAACGAUAAAGGGGGCGGGAAACCCCCUCGCCGAAAGACUAAGGUUUCCUGAUCAACGCUAAUCGGAUCAGGGUCAGUCGGGUCCUAAGGCUCAGCCGAACGGCGAUGCCGAUGGCAGAAACGGUUAAUAUUCCGUUACUACCUUCAGGAGUGACGUGGAGACGCAGUAGUGACAGUGCCGCCAUCUGACGGAAUAGAUGGUUGAAGGGUGUAGGAGUCGAUCAUGGCAGGCAAAUCCACCAUGAGAUCCGAACCUGAUAGUAUGCCGCGUCCUUCGGGACAAGGCAAUAGUGCGCGUAAGCAUGCUGCCGAGAAAAUCCGCUAAACUUAAUCCUGCAGGUACCCGUACCGCAAACGGACACACGUAGUCGGGAUGAAUAUUCUAAGGCGCUUGAGUGAUUCACGGUUAAGGAACUAGGCAAACUGACCCUGUAACUUCGGGAUAAAGGGUCCCUACCCUUUUAUGGGAGGGCGCAGAGAAUCGGUCCAGGCAACUGUUUAACAAAAACACAGGGCUGUGCCAAAUCGAAAGAUCCAGUAUACAGCCUGACACCUGCCCGGUGCUGGAAGGUUAAGAGGAGAUGUCAUCGAUAAGAGAAGCGUUGAAUUGAAGCCCCAGUAAACGGCGGCCGUAACUAUAACGGUCCUAAGGUAGCGAAAUUCCUUGUC